CGUUCACACAAAUGAAAUCAACGUCAAAUACGGAACCCGCAGAUCUAGUACAGAGGAAGAGAACACUAUAGCGGAAAUAUGACUACCCGGUUAAGGAGGGUGUUAGGUAAACAGGUCCACAAGCUGCAGUUUUCUGCACAUUUUCCAUAAACAACAUCACAAUAUUCCACCGAUUAGGAACCACGGUCGCAACAACAACAA